UCCAGUGGGCGUAGUUCUCAUAGUAACAUGACAUGUUGCACUCUGUCUCAAUCGCCUGUAUCCACUUUUUAGUCCUUAAAUGCUAAUUUUUUUGGGUGGACAGCUUAUAAAAACUUCUGGGUUUUUGGUUCUGGGUUUUUCUGUACACCUUGUCACAUAGCAGCUUUUAGACAUUGUUCUGUUUUUUGUUAUGAGUCAGAAAUGACGAGGCAGCCUCAUGCAAUACAAAGUCAAUGGAGACGGCUGGAUUGUUUUCCCCCCCGGUGGGCGUGGUUUUCAGAUUAUGACACGUGUCGCUCUGUCUCUAUACGUCAUGACAGUCUGAGGACAACAGCGCCAGAUCAACAGCCUGAGGCCGGAAGUGGGCGGAGUAACAGUCUCACGCCGUAUGUGGGCAGAGUUAGCGACAAAAACAAUGGCGGAAGACGAGAACACGAGGCAUAUUAGGAUUCGGAGAGGCUCAGCUUUACUUUAUUUGCAGCGAUGCAAAACAUUCUGCUACAAUUUCCACUGCCCAGUGUUUACUGACAGCACAGGUUGAAUGCACGCCUUCAAAUUCACUUCAAAAAGGCUGUUGUCCAUGGAGUAAAUUGACAAGCAGAAUCACCCCAGAACAAUGGAAGCUGAUCAGAAACAAGAAGGUUCCACAACAGUUGGCCGGCUCUAUUGACUGUUGGAUCUUCAUGUUAAUGGAGCCACAGAUCACAGAAGACCCCUGCGCUGCACUUAAAUGGCUGCACAACAACCGAAAGUCUUCAAAGGUUUAGUGGAAGAGCUGUGCUUUCUGAUAUUGAAAGAGGAAGACCAGGAAAAAGCACUUCUUCAACUUCCACAGGCUAAAAUGGAUGAUGACAGACAACUGCCCAAAGAGCCUUUAGUGUUUUGCUUCCAAAUUAAGGAUGAUAUGGAUAUUUUUCUUAAUGAGUGUCUGGACAAAAAUGUUUAUGGAGAUUUUUUUUUUUUUUUUUUUUUUAAGAUUUAAUUUCUCAUCAUGUACCUGCUGUGCAAUAAUUUGUUCAAUUUACUCUCUUUGGUUUGAUUUUGUACUUUUUGUUUUAGAGCAAAGCACAGCUAGUAUAUGAUGUGUUUAAUACUUAGGGUAUUAAGUACAUUUUAUUAAAAUUAAAUAACUUUUGUGUUUUGUUUUUGGUUUUGAUGGAUCUGAAUUUGCUUAAUUCAUGUAAUCUAGUGUACAACUGUGUAAUGUGUAUUAUGUACUAUAAAAAAUGGUUCAUUCAUCAUGAAAUGCUUGAGUAAAAUAUACAUUUUAUGUCAAAUAAAUAAAUGUCAUUUUUAGU